rnacentral:rRNA from 1 species
AUGGCGUCAGGAUGAACGCUGCGGCGUGCUUAACACAUGCAAGUCGAACGAAGCUAAGGGAGCUUGCUCCCAAAGCUAGUGGCGGACGGGUGAGUAACGCGUGGGUAACCUGCCCUAUAGAGGGGGAUAACGUCGGAACGAACGCUAAUACCGCAUAAACCAUAAGGAGCUGCAUGGCUCUGAUGGCAAAGAUUUAUCGCUAUAGGAUGGACCUGCGUUGGAUUAGCUAGUUGGUGAGAUAACAGCUCACCAAGGCGACGAUCCAUAGCCGGCCUGAGAGGGUGAACGGCCACAUUGGGACUGAGACACGGCCCAAACUCCUACGGGAGGCAGCAGUGGGGAAUAUUGCACAAUGGGCGCAAGCCUGAUGCCAGCGACGCCGCGUGAAGGAAGAAGGUCUUCGGAUUGUAAACUUCUAUCAGCAGGGAAGAAUAAAUGACGGUACCUGACUAAGAAGCCCCGGCUAACUACGUGCCAGCAGCCGC